AGCAGUAGCCGCGGGAAUACGUAGGUGGCAAGCGUUGUCCGGAAUUAUUGGGCGUAAAGGGCUCGCAGGCGGUUUCUUAAGUCUGAUGUGAAAGCCCCCGGCUCAACCGGGGAGGGUCAUUGGAAACUGGGAAACUUGAGUGCAGAAGAGGAGAGUGGAAUUCCACGUGUAGCGGUGAAAUGCGUAGAGAUGUGGAGGAACACCAGUGGCGAAGGCGACUCUCUGGUCUGUAACUGACGCUGAGGAGCGAAAGCGUGGGGAGCGAACAGGAUUAGAUACCCGCGUAGUCCCUGUCUCUUAUAA
rnacentral:rRNA from 1 species